rnacentral:rRNA from 1 species
CCCUUAGAUGUUCUGGGCUGCACGCGUGCUACACUGAUUACUUCAACAAGUGUUUUAACUGGAGAGUUCGCGUAAUCCUGAAAUGUUAUCGUGAUGGGAGUAGAGUAUUGUAUUUGUUAAUCUUUAACGAGGAAUUCCUAGUAAGUGUAGGCUUAUAAGUUGUUCUGAUUACGUCCCUGCCCUUUGUACACACCGCCCGUCGCUCCUACCGAUUGAUUGAUCCGGUGAAUUACAUAGAAUUUUGCGUUUUACAUGACGGAAGAUGAAGUGUUUUAAACCUUAUCAUUUAGAGGAAGGAGAAGUCGUAACA